rnacentral:rRNA from 1 species
UCCGUUCAAAGGUAGUGUAAUUAAAGCCCUUUAAUUGUGGGCCAAUGAAUGGAUUGACGAAUUAAUAUUGUCUCAUUUGUGUGAAGUAGAAGUUAACUUUUAGGUGAAGAGGCCUAGAUAUUAUUAAGGGACGAGAAGACCCUGUCAAACUUUAAUUAGGGAGUUUGCUGUAAGUGAGCAGUUAAAUUUUGUAAAAUUUUAGUUGGGGCAACUGGGAAGGAUAUAAACUUUUUAUUAUCUGUAAUGGGGUGUUAUACUAAUGUACACGAUCCAAAUUUGUGUUUUGAAUAUAGAAUAAGUUACUGGAGGGAUAACAGCA